UCGUGGACUUUAAUCGAUACUUGGGACCGGCCGCAAAUUACUAUCAUUUAUUUGAACACAUUCCGGCCGGCUUACCACAUAAGUGCUGUAGUAUUUAUCUUAAGUGUGUGUCGAAAUAUUUUGGAACCAUGAGUCUGUUGGAAAACGAACAUUUUGAAAGAUUCCACACUUUCAUGAUGGCGAACUGGUCAGCAAUGGGUUCCAUAAUCCUGCCCAACGUUGGCGGAUGGGCUAACGGUUUAUACUUUGCCGGUCAAAUCCGCAAGGGUGAAGACAAAGCUUGGUACGAUGAGCUGAAGAAACCAUCGUGGAACCCCCCCAAGUGGGUGUUUGGACCUGCAUGGACUGUUUUGUACAGCAGCAUGGGUUACGCUUCAUAUUUAGUUUAUGAAGAAGUUGGUGGAUUCCAAGAUGAAGCAGUCCUACCCCUGACAUUGUACGGAGGUCAGUUGCUGCUUAACUGGGCGUGGACGCCCAUCUUCUUCGGCUUGAAGGAUUUUAAAUUGGCCUUCAUCGAGAUCUCAGUACUAUCUGGAGCAGCAGUGGCGACCACACUGUCGUUCUUCCCCGUGAACCGCACGGCCGGGCUCCUCAUGUUACCGUACCUCGCGUGGCUGGGGUACGCCAGCUCCCUGUCUUACUACAUCUGGAAGAACAACCCCAAGGUUGAGGUCCGGGAGAUCAAGGAUGAGAAGAGUCAGUGAAGAUAACAAUCACCAAUAAAAAGCGCUUAUAACUUAACUAUUUUCUUAAGUCAACGAUCAAGAACGUGUUCUUAGUUUUAGACGCAUAUUUCACGCGACAAGUGCAAUUUCUAUCAAUUUAUUUUAAGUAAUAAUAAUAAUAACUAGGUGAUAGCUUGCUAUUGGUAAGGUUUUGGACUGUUAAGACAGUAAAUUGGGUAAAAUGUAUAACAUAAAGAGCAUAUAAAGCCCCUGAAUUGUGGCCUAACCAUAUAAGACCCUUUAAACUGACGGGUUUGAAUGCGGCCUAGGUGGUUAUAAUGCGGCCUGUGUGGUUAUAAUGCGGCCUAGCUUCUUAUUAAGCGGCCAGGCUCGGUCUAGUCAACAUUUAUACGGCCCAUUGAAAUAUCUAUCAACAUUCAAAAUCAAAUUGCAUUUAUAUGGCACAAAUUAACUAACAGCUGUUAUUUAUUUAACCCUAAUUCACUGUCUUAUAGUUAAAAUGAAAUGUUGUUCAUCACAAUAAAUACAGCACAACUUUGUGAACAAAAUCGUUGUCUAAAUAUCGUCAGUAUUUAAGCCGCAUUUAAUGUCAAUAUUCAACAAUGUCUUAGAAAUAGUAUGUAUUGCUUCUAACCCUUUGAUGUUGUGAAAACUUAUAUAUUUUAUGUAAAACACCAUGGGCCAUAUGUCCCGGCUGUCAUUGAACAUCCUUGGCAGUCGUUACGGGUAGUCAGAAGCCAGUAAGUCUGACACCAGUCUAACCAAGGGGUAUUGGGUUGCCCGGGUAACUGGGUUGAGGAGGACAGACAGGCAGUCGCUUCUUGUAAAGCACUGGUAUCCAGCUGUAUCCGGUUAGACUGGAAGCCGACCCCAACAUAGUUGGGAAAAAGGCUCGGAGGACCAUGAGCCAUAUGCCACGAUGCUAAAGUCACAAAGCUUCCUUAUGUCGACAGACUUAAGGUACAGUACAGUACCUCGACCUACCUCAAGCUGUCAAAUUUCUUCAAUAGAUAUUCAACCUUAUCACAAUAGUGGAAGGCUAAUGUUCGAUUGGUAAAAUUUGAUAGUCUAGGCUAGGUUUGUACAUUUGAUGUUUCACAAUUAUCAGGCGUCGUACACCUAAGUAUGUAUAAUAUCAAAUAUUGUAGAUCAGUAUUGUUCAAUAACCAGAAGUACAUUUAUUUAAAGCAUUUUAAGGUCUAAUAGAAAUACUAUUUAUUUUGUGGGUUACCUACGAAUAGCAAUUUUUUGUGAUUUUUCCAGAGAAAAAUCAAUUAAUUAUUAUGUUUUUUGGUCAUCAAUAAAACAGUAAAUGUUUGUGAGAAUACCCGCAAAAUAAAUAUUUUUUCCAUUCAUGUACCGUUUAAUAUGUUUUUCAAUAACAAAGUUGUUUUUAUUUAUCCCUAAUAUGUAUAGAUUUAAGUGAAAAGUGUCCUUCGAAGCACAAUUAUAUAUUUAUAUACUUUUUAUGUAAGCAUUCCUGCCUUGCAUUUAAUUUCAUAUUUUUUGAAACCAAAUUUAAACUAGUAGAUAAUCGACAAGAUACUUGUAAACUGUUAAUUUUUGAGUAUUUAUUGUUUGUAGUUAUUUGAGUAUCAAUAAAUUACUGAAAUACCA
rnacentral:misc_RNA from 1 species